rnacentral:rRNA from 1 species
AUGGUUGCCACAAAGACGGGUGAUCUGAGGGCGCUCUUCUUGUCACUGGACCGGGACGCGGACGGCAGGAUCUCGGCCGCGGAGCUGCGGGGGUGCAUGCGGGCGACCGGCGACGCUGGGCGAGGACGUGCCGGUCGAGGAGGCCGAGGCAUUGGUGGCGUCGGCAGACGCGGACGGCGAUGGGCUGCUGUGCGAGGCCGAGUUCCUCGAGCUGGCCUAGCAGGCGGCCUGGGCGGGCGACGCGGGGGAGGAGGACGACGAUCAGAGGAUCCGGGCGCUGAGGGAGGCGUUCGGGAUGUAUGA